GAGGCUGGCUGAUGCUGGCUAGUGUGACAGUUGGGGGCAUUUGGAGCAUGCAUCUUAGGUGAGAGGACAUAGAGGGGAGUGGUGAUGCAGCUCCUCCCCUUGAGAUGAGCAGUGAGCAGCCAUCUUUGGAACAGAGAUAGAGAGAGGAGAGUGUUGUCUUGAAGCUUACAUGCUCUCCAUGAUCCCGGCAUCCCCUUACAGUGAAUCAGUAGCCUGGUCAUCAUGAUGGCCACAUCUCAUGUCUCUCCAGCUCCCAGUGGCUGUGUGAAGGCGGCGGUGCUACAUUGGUGUGGAGUGGAUACAGAGAGUCCUUUGCAGUACAGCUAGACAGCAGAGCAGAUCACUAUGAAAGUAUACAUAACAGCACUUCCUUGGUUGUACCGGAAAAUUAAGAAAAAGGGAGGAAAGGAAUGAAGAAAGGAGGAAAUAAAGAAAAAGGAAUCAAAGGAAGGAAGGAAAGAAAUUAGGGAGGUCUAGAGAUGUGCAUACUUGGCUUUUCCCACCAGACUCGGAUUCCAAACCGAGGCAAGACGUCAUCAUCCAAGCAUUGGGUUUUGCAGGUUUUGUAUUCGUUAUAAGGGAGCUUGGCACAAUUUCACUCCCUUCCUGCUAGGAUGUCUGCAAUAAAGUGUAAAUAUGUUUAAUUAAUACAAAAA